AACGUAGGGGGCGAGCGUUGUCCGGAAUCAUUGGGCGUAAAGCGCGUGUAGGCGGCUUGGUAAGUCCGGUGUGAAACCUUGGGGCUCAACCCCAAGCCUGCACUGGAUACUGCCUCGCUUGAGUCCGGGAGGGGAGAGCGGAAUUCCUAGUGUAGCGGUGAAAUGCGCAGAUAUUAGGAAGAACACCGGUGGCGAAGGCGGCUCUCUGGAACGGUACUGACGCUGAGACGCGAAAGCGUGGGGAGCGAACAGG
rnacentral:rRNA from 1 species